rnacentral:sRNA from 1 species
GCGGAGGAAAAGAAACCAACAGGGAUUGCCUCAGUAACGGCGAGUGAAGCGGCAACAGCUCAAAUUUGAAAUCUGGCCCUUUCAGGGUCCGAGUUGUAAUUUGCAGAGGGUGCUUUGGCGUCGGCCGUGGUCUAAGUUCCUUGGAACAGGACGUCACAGAGGGUGAGAAUCCCGUACGUGGCCGCCGGCCUUCGCCGUGUAAAGCCCCUUCGACGAGUCGAGUUGUUUGGGAAUGCAGCUCUAAAUGGGAGAUAAAUUUCUUCUAAAGCUAAAUAUUGGCCAGAGACCGAUAGCGCACAAGUAGAGUGAUCGAAAGAUGAAAAGCACUUUGGAAAGAGAGUCAAAAAGCACGUGAAAUUGUUGAAAGGGAAGCGCUUGCAGCCAGACGUGCCCGCAGUUGCUCACCCAGGCUCUCGCCUGGGGCAUUCUUCUGCGGGCAGGCCAGCAUCAGUUCGGGCGGUUGGAUAAAGGCCUCUAUCACGUAUCUCCCUUCGGGGUGACCUUAUAGGGGAGGCGCAACACGGCCAGCCCGAACUGAGGACCGCGCAUCAGCUAGGAUGCUGGCGUAAUGGCUGUAAGCGGCCCGUCUUGAAACACGGACCAAGGAGUCUAACAUCUAUGCGAGUGUUUGGGUGUCAAGCCCGGGCGCGCAAUGAAAGUGAACGGAGGUGGGAACCCCUCGGGGCGCACCAUCGACCGAUCCUGAAGUCUUCGGAUGGAUUUGAGUAAGAGCAUAGCUGUUGGGACCCGAAAGAUGGUGAACUAUGCCUGAAUAGGGUGAAGCCAGGGGAAACCCUGGUGGAGGCUCGCAGCGGUUCUGACGUGCAAAUCGAUCGUC